rnacentral:rRNA from 1 species
GUCCACGCCCUAAACGAUGAUGACUAGUUGUUGGAGGAGUUAAAUCCUUUAGUAACGCAGCUAACGCGCGAAGUCAUCCGCCUGGGGAGUACGGUCGCAAGAUUAAAACUCAAAGGAAUUGACGGGGGCCCCGCACAAGCGGUGGAUGAUGUGGUUUAAUUCGAUGCAACGCGAAAACCUUACCUACCCUUGACAUGUGCGGAAUCCUGCAGAAAUGUAGGAGUGCCCGAAAGGGAACCGCAACACAGGUGCUGCAUGGCUGUCGU